ACCUACGGGAGGCUGCAGUGGGGAAUCUUCCGCAAUGGGCGCAAGCCUGACGGAGCAACGCCGCGUGAGUGACGAAGGUCUUCGGAUUGUAAAACUCUGUCCAGAGGGAAGAAUUAAGUGACGGUACCACUGGAGGAAGCCCCGGCUAACUACGUGCCAGCAGCCGCGGUAAAACGUAGGGGGCGAGCGUUGUCCGGAAUUACUGGGCGUAAAGGGCGUGUAGGCGGCCAAGUAAGUCAGUCGUGAAACCCACCGGCUUAACCGGUGGCUGGCGAUUGAAACUGUUUGGCUUGAGUGCAGUAGAGGGGAGUGGAAUUCCCAGUGUAGCGGUGAAAUGCGUAGAUAUUGGGAGGAACACCGGUGGCGAAAGCGGCUCCCUGGCCUGUAACUGACGCUGAGGCGCGAAAGCGUGGGUAGCAAACAGGAUUAGAUACCCGUGUAGUC
rnacentral:rRNA from 1 species